rfam:Babesia bovis strain T2Bo chromosome 1 gcontig_1104837696198, whole genome shotgun sequence.
GUGCGUGUGGCGCAAUGGAUAGCGCGUCGCUCUCCGGAGGCGAAGGUUGUGGGUUCGAGUCCCACCAUGCACG